GUGACAGAAGUACUAAAGCGACGAUUCGUAAUGGAUCUGAGGGGGUUGGAGCCAGUGCAUGUGUGCCGACUAAAGAAGAUAAAAAAAAUCUGUUCAUCAGUCGACUAGUGUAUUUCUCGAAAAUUAUUGUGGAAGACUAAAUGGAAUUUGGUAUACAGGGGGAGCAGUUUUCAUCGCUAAUAUUUGAAGGUAAGUAAUAUAUGUACUUUGCCUUCAAAAACGUUUAAGUAGAUACGGUUCUUUCAUAGUAUAACGUUCUCUGUUAGCUGGUACAAAAUUUGCGAUUUUGGGAACUGUCAUAUGCAAGAAUCUGUUUCUUCGACCUAUGACAACUUUCUCAUAAAUAUGUUUUAUCUUCUUCUCGUCACACCAAGUUAUAAAUUUUUCGUAAGCCAU